UAUUUUGGUCCCGGAUAUACUAUUGCUUUUAGCUAGAAAUAUACAUGCCAGUUUCCUCGCACCAGUGAGCACGCCCACUUUUGGUCUUCCCACAAGUGGGGCCGGUAUCAGGCACGGUUUAAACCCUGCCCAAAACACCUAGCCAUGCCACCCCCCCACUGGGUUUCAGCAGUAAAAAAUACUAAGCACUGAGCCAACGCUCGACUUGGUAAUAGCUACCCUGGGCCGGUAAACCCCGUGCCAGCCACCGCGGUUACACGAGGGGCCUAAAACAACAAAUAUCGGCGUAAAGCGUGACUAGAGCGAGGUUUAUUUUUAGGCUUUUAAACUGCAGCACAGCUGUAAAACGCUAUACGCAAUCAGGAAUUCGCCCCAGGCCCCAUUAACACCAACCUUAACCUCACGAAAACUAAGACCCAAACUAGGAUUAGAUACCCUACUAUGCUUAGUCGUAAACAAACGAAAUCUUUCGCUCGCCAGAAAACUACAAGCAACCAGCUUAGAACUCAAAAGACUUGACAGUAUUUCACAUCGACCUAGAGGAGCCUGUCCUACAACCGAUAAUCCACGAUCAACCUCACCCACCUUUGCAACAACAGUCUAUAUACCUCCGUCGCCAGCCCGCCUGAAAACAGAAACGAAGCGAGUGCAACAGCUCAUCACUAAGACGACAGGUCAAGGUGUAACUUAUAGGUCGGGCAGAGAUGGGCUACAUUUCCUAACAUAGAAAAUACCAAUCCCGCCAUGAAACUUGCGCAAAAAGGUGGAUUUAGCAGUAAGUCAGACAAGAAAAGCCUGCCUGAAACCCGCCCUGAAAUGUGU
rnacentral:ncRNA from 1 species